GUGGGGAAUAUUGGACAAUGGGGGGAACCCUGAUCCAGCCAUGCCGCGUGUGUGAAGAAGGCCUUUUGGUUGUAAAGCACUUUAAGCGAGGAGGAGGCUACCGAGAUUAAUACUCUUGGAUAGUGGACGUUACUCGCAGAAUAAGCACCGGCUAACUCUGUGCCAGCAGCCGCGGUAAUACAGAGGGUGCAAGCGUUAAUCGGAUUUACUGGGCGUAAAGCGCGCGUAGGUGGCCAAUUAAGUCAAAUGUGAAAUCCCCGAGCUUAACUUGGGAAUUGCAUUCGAGACUGGUUGGCUAGAGUAUGGGAGAGGAUGGUAGAAUUCCAGGUGUAGCGGUGAAAUGCGUAGAGAUCUGGAGGAAUACCGAUGGCGAAGGCAGCCAUCUGGCCUAAUACUGACACUGAGGUGCGAAAGCAUGGGGAGCAAACAGGAUUAGAUACCCUAGUAGUCC
rnacentral:rRNA from 1 species